rnacentral:tRNA from 11 species
GCCGAGGUGGCGAAACUGGCAGACGCGCACGGUUUAGGACCGUGUGCCGCAAGGCAUGGAGGUUCGAGUCCUCUCCUCGGCA